rnacentral:snRNA from 1 species
CCAUUUAAUGAUACAGAGAAGAUUAUCAUGGCCCUUGUGCAAGGAUGACAUGCAAAUUCGUGACAUGUUCCAUAUUAAA